rnacentral:rRNA from 1 species
UGCAGUCGCACGAGAACGCUUCAGCUUGCUGAAGUAAGUAAAGUGGCGCACGGGUGAGUAACGCGUGGGUAAUCUACCCUCAAAUUGGGGAUAACCCGCCGAAAGGCGGGCUAAUACCGAAUGAUAUCCUGAAAACUUAUGUUUUUAGGAUCAAAGGUGGCCUCUACAUGUAAGCUAUUGUUUGGGGAUGAGCCCGCGUACCAUUAGCUUGUUGGUAGGGUAAUGGCCUACCAAGGCUGCGAUGGUUAGCUGGUCUGAGAGGAUGAUCAGCCACACUGGAACUGACACACGGUCCAGACUCCUACGGGAGGCAGCAGUGAGGAAUUUUGCGCAAUGGGGGAAACCCUGACGCAGCAACGCCGCGUGAGUGAUGAAGGCUUUCGGGUCGUAAAGCUCUGUCAAGUGGGAAGAACUCAUAUGGUGUUAAUAUCGCCAUGUGCUGACGGUACCACUGAAGGAAGCACCGGCUAACUCCGUG